UGGUUAUCACGUUUGCCUCACACGCAAAAGGUCCCCGGUUCGAAACCGGGCGGAAACA
rnacentral:tRNA from 1 species